rnacentral:rRNA from 1 species
UACGUAGGGCGCAAGCGUUUGUCCGGAAUUAUUGGGCGUAAAGAGCUCGUAGGCGGCCUGUUACGUCUGCUGUGAAAUCCCGGGGCUUAACCCCGGGCGUGCAGUGGAUACGGGCAGGCUGGAGGCAGGCAGGGGAGAACGGAAUUCCCGGUGGUAGCGGUGAAAUGCGCAGAUAUCGGGAGGAACACCGGUGGCGAAGGCGGUUCUCUGGGACGGUACUGACGCUGAGACGCGAAAGCGUGGGGAGCGAACAGG